AGAGGGUGCAAGCGUUAAUCGGAAUUACUGGGCGUAAAGGGUGCGUAGGUGGUUUGUUAAGUCAGGCGUGAAAUCCUCGGGCUCAACCUGGGAACUGCGCUUGAUACUGACAGACUCGAGUGUGGUAGAGGAUAGUGGAAUUCCCGGUGUAGCGGUGAAAUGCGUAGAUAUCGGGAGGAACAUCAGUGGCGAAGGCGGCUAUCUGGACUAACACUGACACUGAGGCACGAAAGCGUGGGUAGCAAACAGGAUUAGAUACCCUGGUAGUCCACGCCCUAAACGAUGGGUACUAGACGUCGGGAAGCUUGUCUUCUUGGUGUCGCAGCUAACGCAAUAAGUACCCCGCCUGGGGAGUACGGUCGCAAGAUUA
rnacentral:rRNA from 1 species